rnacentral:misc_RNA from 1 species
ACCUCCUUUCUAAGGAGCACCACGAAAACGCCCCAACUGGUGGGGCGUAGGCCGUGAGGGGUUCUUGUCUGUAGUGGGCGAGAGCCGGGUGCAUGACAACAAAGUUGGCCACCAACACACUGUUGGGUCCUGAGGCAACACUCGGACUUGUUCCAGGUGUUGUCCCACCGCCUUGGUGGUGGGGUGUGGUGUUUGAGAACUGGAUAGUGGUUGCGAGCAUC